CAUGUUUUCACGCAUUUAAUUUUCAAAUCAACCUUAGGAAAUAGGUACUGUCAUUAUCCCCAGUUUUCAGAUGAAGACACUGAGGUCAAAGGACAUGUGGAGGACACACAGCGGGUCCCAGAGGAUGUGUUUCUAGCCUCUGUGCAGAACAACACGCAUAUUCAACGAACCACCAACUUGGUCAUAGCCAACCCAGUGACUUCCGCGCCUGCCUCUGAGCAGCUGAGUGUGUUUGCAGAAAAGCAAACCGCUUCCCUUUGGAUUCCUGAGCACGGAUCUCCCAGGGGUCCUCACGCUGCCUGGCAACCACGAUCCAUUUCCUGGUCCAUCCACUCUCCCUCUCCUCUAGGUGACUUUUCCACACCCUCCUUCCCUCUUGCCUGAGCACUUAUUCCCCACUUGCACAGAGAAUAUGAGGCAGCUGGAGGAGAGCUGCCACAGGUUUCCAGCAAUCAUGGCUGUCCUGCCUCGGUGUUCACCUGCCUCGUUGCCUUUCCCUGUGACUACAGAAACAUGGCCUCUCCUGAGAACAACCCUUUUCCUCUGUACUCCAAAAACAUGGCUUCAGCAACUGUCCUUUCCUCGCCUGUCUCAUGGCAUGUUCCUUCUCUCCUGGAUCAUGGACAUUAGGAAACAAACACGCUGAGAUUUCUCCUGUGUUAAUUCCUCCACCAACCAACCAACACCAUUCCAGUCGCCCCUUCAUCUGCCUUUUCUUUUCUCUGUUCUCCUUCAUAAUAAAAACUCUGGCAGGAUUGGUCUUUACUGCUGUCCUCUUCCCUUUACUCCAUUUCCCUUUUGUCAUGAGCUGGUCAGGCUCCUGCUUCCACCACUCCCUCAAAACUGCAUUUGCCUAGGUCAUCCAUGGCCCAUGGCUUCUGCUUGGCUAAGGUCAGCUGUCUGAUCUCAGGCUACCUUGUAUUUGUCUUGUUAGCUCUGACUCAUCUGAACACGAAUAUUCCCUCCUUCUUAAAGCAGCUUCCUCACUGGGCCUCCAGAACAGCUCUCUGAUCUCCAUUCUGCAUCCCCCCAACUGCUGGUCUGCAGUCUGCUAGUUGGUUGGUUCGCAGUCUCUGUCUCUCAGUGCUGGGAGUGCCAGGCAUAGCCCUUGGACCUCUUCCUUGUCUUCACUUACUGCGUCAAUGUUCCCAUGUUUUCUUCUGCAUACUUUAAGCACCAUGUACACUAGAUGAUUCCAUAGGGAUGGUUCCAGGUUGGACCACUUCCCUGACCUCCAUACUCAUUUGUCCAGCUUCACUUAGACUUCUCCCAGGCACCUUGAAGUUGACACAUCCUAGAGUGAAGCCCCCCUCCACAGCUACCCCAAAACUAUUCUUUCCUUAGUCUUUCCUUAGUUGUCCAUCCUGGGUAGGGUGAGCUGUAGCUUCACCUACCGGCUAUUUAGCCAGAUACUUGAGGUCACCCCAACUCCUCUCUUUCCUUCACGGGCUACAUCCAAUUGGUCAGGGUCUCCUAUCAGGUCUAUUUUCAAAGUGCAUCCAGAAUCCCAUCAUUUGUCAUCAUUUCUACCACUACCCAGUCUGAGCCAUCAACCUUUCCUGCUGGAUUAUUGCAAACACCCCUCUUCUCCCUGCUACCACCCUUACUCCCUACACUCUAUUGUCAACCCAGCAUCCCAAGUGAUGCUCUAAAAACAUAUGAUGGAUACCAACCCUCCUCUGCUUAAAAUCUCCAGUGGCUUGCUCAUAGAAGCCAAAGUCAUUGUAAUGGACUCCCAGAACCAGAAUGAUCUGCCUGGACCCUUUGCCUCCCUCUUCCUCUGACUUUAUUUCCUACUGCUCUCACCUUUGCUCAGGCCCUCCAGCUGCUCAGCUGCCUUGUACUUCCUGGGGCUGGCCCAGUCCCAGGGCCAUGGCACUGGCUGGAUGCCCUCCCCUAGCCUCUGGCCAGUUCCCCUUCCCUUUGGACUUCUGCUCAAACCUUCCAAAUGAGACAACCUUGACCUAUUUCAAACAAAACCACUUUCCACCCCCAAGUCCCCAACCCCUUCUCUGCUUUAUUCCCAUAUCCCCUUGUCACAACCACACUAUGGAUUUCACAUAUUUAUUUUACUCAUCGUCCAUCCAUCUCUCACAUGCUUAAGUUUUAAAUUUCACAUCCUCCAUGUUUAGGGCAAUGACCAGCACACUGUAGACACUCACCAGGCAUUUUUGGAUAAAUGGAUGAAUGAGAACCUCUGAGUUGUGGAUGGGAUCUGGAAUAGGACAUUUUGUAUAUUUCAGAUAAGUCUUUCUGUCCUCCUUUUAGGUCUCUAUAGGACUUGGAAGACAAUCCAGAGGUUACAAAACCACCUUUCUUUUUCUUCUUUUUUAAAACCUCUCAGCAGUUGCAGCUACUCAUCUGUGUAAAUAGGCUUUUCAAGAUACCGCACGACCAAAACUAAUGAAAAUUAUCAGGCUGUUUUGAUAAACACAAAAGAGGGAAGUCGGGGGUUAUGGAUGACAAUUGUAGUUUUAUAUCAACCUGAGCAUCCUGUUUAUUUAAUCAAAACUGCCUUGUUCUUAUUGAUUGACUUUAUAGUAAGUAAAGGUUAUAAUCUGUAUUCAUAAAAUCAAUCCACACAAAUAAAACAUUGCUUUUUAAAAAUCA